UACGGGGGGGGCAAGCGUUGUUCGGAAUUACUGGGCGUAAAGGGCUCGUAGGCGGCCAACUAAGUCAGACGUGAAAUCCCUCGGCUUAACCGGGGAGCUGCGUCUGAUACUGGAUGGCUAGAGAUUGGGAGAGGGAUGCGGAAUUCCAGGUGUAGCGGUGAAAUGCGCAGAUAUCAGGAGGAACACCGGUGGCGAAGGCGGGUCUCUGGGCCGUAACUGACGCUGAGGAGCGAAAGCGUGGGGAGCGAACAGG
rnacentral:rRNA from 1 species